UGAAGUUCAUAACCGAGAGAUUCAUAACCUUGUAAAGGCAGGCUAUGUCACCAAAGUGACAGCUCAAGAAGAGGGAAACGCACUCAGGGAAUCCUGGUAUCUCCCUCACCAUGUUAUCCAGCAACAUAGUGGGAAGUACAGACUUGUCUUCAACUGUUCAUUCCAAGCUGCUGGUCAAAGCCUGAAUGACUGUCUACUCCCCGGACCAACUUUAGGCCCUUCCUUGCUCGGUGUCCUUCUCUGGUUCCGGCAGCACUCUACAGCCAUCAGUGGAGACAUUAAAGCCAUGUUUCAUCAGAUUCGUCUGCUGCCUUCCGACACCACACUGCUCCGGUUCAUAUGGCGAGAUAUGGAACGAGACGCAGAGCCCACAAUCUAUGAAUGGCAAGUACUCCCAUUUGGCACCACCUGCAGUCCUUGCUGUGCCAUAUACGCUCUGCAGAGACACUCACGGGAGCACCCAGACAGUGACCCAGAAGUAUGGGAUUCAGUGGAAAAUGCCUUCUAUGUGGAUAACUGCUUACAGAGCGUUCCAUCCACGGCUGAAGCGAAAGCACUCCUUGACAAAGUACGGAAUCUCCUGUCCAAAGGGGGAUUUGAGGUCCGACAGUGGGCGAGUAACAGAGCGGAGGUUAUCCAGCACCUCCCGCCACAAGCCAGGUCUAGUAGCAGUGAACUAUGGCUAUCGCAGUCUGGCGCUAACCCACAAGAGCCCACUCUAGGACUGAGAUGGAGCUGCAUACCGGAUACCCUGGGGUACAAGCACCGCUCAGCCCUGAGUACCGAAACCCCCACUCUGCGCACCAUCUAUCGGACCCUGGCCAGUCAAUACGAUCCCCUUGGGUAUAUUCUGCCAUACACAACCCGGGCCAAAGUCUUAGUCCAGGACCUGUGGCAGACCAAGAGGGACUGGGAUGAACUGAUCCACCCGGCUGACCUAGUGGAACGAUGGAUCUGUUGGGAAACAGAGUUAUCGCUCUCUGAAGUCCAAAUGUCAAGAUGUUAUGUACGACCC
rnacentral:lncRNA from 8 species